GAAGUGCGAAUGCUGACAUAAGUAACGAUAAAGCGGGUGAAAAGCCCGCUCGCCGGAAGACCAAGGGUUCCUGUCCAACGUUAAUCGGGGCAGGGUGAGUCGACCCCUAAGGCGAGGCCGAAAGGCGUAGUCGAUGGGAAACAGGUUAAUAUUCCUGUACUUGGUGUUACUGCGAAGGGGGGACGGAGAAGGCUAUGUUGGCCGGGCGACGGUUGUCCCGGUUUAAGCGUGUAGGCUGGUUUUCCAGGCAAAUCCGGAAAAUCAAGGCUGAGGCGUGAUGACGAGGCACUACGGUGCUGAAGCAACAAAUGCCCUGCUUCCAGGAAAAGCCUCUAAGCAUCAGGUAACAUCAAAUCGUACCCCAAACCGACACAGGUGGUCAGGUAGAGAAUACCAAGGCGCUUGAGAGAACUCGGGUGAAGGAACUAGGCAAAAUGGUGCCGUAACUUCGGGAGAAGGCACGCUGAUAUGUAGGUGAAGUCCCUUGCGGAUGGAGCUGAAAUCA
rnacentral:rRNA from 1 species